rnacentral:lncRNA from 1 species
CCCAGCUGGCCCGGCCGCCGCGGCCUCUUCCGCCCGGCGCCCGCGCAUUCCUGCCAUUCCCCCGAGUCGGCCCGCGGGCUACGGCCGCCUGCGGAGCGCAGGAACCUUCACCUCCCGAGGACAGGCGCCUUCCCCUCGGGACCCGGCUCCCCUGCUGCCUGCGCCGCUCUGUCCCCCUGCCGCUGCCCAAGCCUCCAGCAGGGGCCACCGAGGGCUCCAGGAGCACCCCAGGCCCGUUCUUCUGGCCCACAGCGCCCCUCCUGUGACCCUCAGCGACCCUCCUGUCCUGCCCUCCGGCGGCGCGGCUGUCUGGAGACUCUGCACCGUCGCGGCCUCGCAGCCUCGCAGCCCCGCGCCGGGUGGGGAGGGGAGGGUGGCGUUCCUGAGUCCGCGGAGGAAAGGGUCGCAGCUGCAGUCGCGCCAGCCCUCGGGCCUACAUCCGCUCCGCCGCGACGCGGCUCACAAACUAGGGAGGGGAGAAGGGAAGAAAGACCCGAUUCGGGAACACGGCUUUGUCCCUGGAACUGUACCUCAUGUCCCCUCACUUAAUCCUCCCAAGACCUGUGGGGCGUGUCGUCAUUUUAGGGCUGGAGAUGAGGAAACCGAGGCUCGGAGAGAUGAAGCGUUGUACGGCCACCGAGCGGCUGCUUUGCAACGAAGCCAAAGCCAACGUUUUGUUCUUAGCGGCGGUCGUUUGAGCCACGCCUCACCGCAACGAGUCUGCCAUCAGCCAAGAGAUGGAGUGAAGGUACCUGAGCGCAGGAACCAUGGUCUUCAUUGCUGCCUCAGCAUUAGCGGAAGUGCCACGGGCCGGCUCCCAGGGGGCCAGAGUUUCCCAGGAACACCAUUGAGUACCACUGAACUAGAGUCUGCAAGUUAAAGUAAGGCAAGAAGGAAAACCGGAAACAACUGUAAAAACCUGACCUUUCGUCACCUUAAUACUGGCCAUCAUUUAUCGAGUGCUUAUUAUGUAACAGACAUUGUUCUCAGUGUGUGAGUGCAGUGUUCCUCAAACCUAAAUGUGGGCCUGAAUCGCAGCGGAUCUUGGUAAAAUGCAGUUUCUCAUUCAGUACCUCUGGGGUGCGGCCUGAGAUUCUGCAUUUCCAACAAGCUCCCAGGAUACUUUGUAUAGAAAGGCUUUGGUGUAUUAACUAACUCGAUCUUCUUAAUAAUCCUAUGAAAUACUACUGCUAUUCCCAUUUUACAGAUGAGGAAACAGAGGUUAAGCAUAUAUGAACUUACAUCAAAAUAAAUAGACUGCAGGGCAAGGAGGGAGGGGAGAAUAGUGUGGGCAGUGUACAGUGCAGAAACAAAGUUCUAGGCAGAGGAAAAAGGAUUUACAGAAAGCCUGGCAUACAGGGCAGGGGGACGGGGCCUGCACACGGGGCUGUUUCACCGUUAGACGUUAUAAGCACAGUACUUGGGGCUAUGGGCUUCCUGAAGGUCCCAAGUAUUUGAGACCUGAAAAAAAUUUAUUGACACCUACAUAGGAAAAGUGAACUUUUAAAUUAAUAAUUCCAAAAUUCAAAUCACGAAUUGUUUCAAAAAUUUUACAUGAUAGAAUUCAUAUUUAGUAAGCGAUACGGGUAUAUUUUAAUGCAUUUGAUUUUAAAAACGGGGUAGGGCCUACUAAGAACAGGCCAAGCCCUGGCCCCAGUGGGUUUGGAUAUAAUCCUGAGGGCAGCUGGGAACCACUGAGAGAAGCAGGAGAAUGUUCUCUGUGGCUACAGUGAGGAGAAUGGAUUGGAGGGAGGCCAGACUGGAGGCCCAGUGGCUAGAGACCAGAUAGGCAGUUACAGUCUUCCAGACUGCGAGACAAUCUCUCUUUAGUGCCAAGAUUAGCAUAAAAUCAUAGCAUUAUAUAACCCAAUUAUUCUUUGAUUCCUGCAUCCCCAAUCUGACUCAGCAUUCUAAAUUUACUUAAGAUCUGGGGACAAGGGUUUUUGGCAAAUCCUUGAAGGCAAAUGAUGUUACAGUCAAUCAGUAUAUGCCUUGAGCCAGACAGACAUGGGUACGGGCCUCAGUUCUGCUGCUUGCUAGCUAUGUGACUUUGCACAAGUGAUUUAACUUCUCUGGGCCUUGGAUUCCUUACUGGUAACACGAGCAUAAUCGAUUCCUCACAGAAUUAAGUGAGAAAACUAUGUAUGUAGGACUUCUUAUGGAGUGGGUACUUAGAAAUAAAUGGUAGCCGUUA